rnacentral:misc_RNA from 1 species
UGCGGCUGGAUCCCCUCCUUUCUAGGGAUGCCGGAGCUCUUACUCCGGCAGGCGCCGGUCCCGUUAGAUGGCCUCGGCCGUCCGGCUAACCGGCUCGCCUGGAACAAAGUCGAUCUCGACGCAUGUACUACGUACGCUGUUGAGUUUUGAAGGACUGGGCGCUCGGGCCCGCGUGGACCUUGAAAACUCCAUAGCGACAUCUAUACCGGUGUUUUUUUGAUCAAGAGAAACAAGGGCACACCGGUGGAUGCCUUGGCA